UUUUAAUCACAUUUAUUAAAUUUUUUGAGGUAAUAAAGAAGCAAUGAAAAAAUAUAGAAUCGUCUGAAAGGAAUCCAUGUUCUUUUUAAUGUCAAAAACAAAUUCUGCAUUUUGCUGAAGUUUUGUUUCUCUGUUAGGAAAUAGCUCUGAUUGCUGUCAAACUAAUUGCUGUUAAGUUUCUAUUCUCUGUAACCCUGAAUUUUAUCUCUUUGGCACUACUCCCGGACAAUAUUCCUAAUAUGGAAGUUCCGUUUUUGUUUCUCUUUCACUGUCUGUAGAAUAGAGCGUGUUAAUAUGAUAGGUUGAAUACAUAACUUACGAUGAUAUGCUAAUAAAGGGGGUAAAGCCCCCUCUAUAUAACCUGUGUGCAUUAAAAAUAAACCUCAGAGUGUUCAUUCAGUACAUCACUGUUGUGUCUUUUAUUACCUACUGAGUGAAGCGCUCUCCUGACGUCAGAAAAGGACUCAAACCAAGCCGAUACUAGAAGUUUGGUGCCAGGGGUACCAAGUGGGACGUUGAGAUUCCUAUCAGUUUGGGGGCUCGUGUCCGGGGUCGAGAAGGUCAUCGGGUUUGGAACCCACCCACCCAUACAGGGUGGGGGAUGAGGUAGUGAUCAAAACACUGAAGAAAGGAAAAUCCCAAGGUGACUUCGCAUAUGGCCCACCCACUACCGUGGUCGCAGUAACCAGAACAGCCGUGCUGACUGAACAAUCUUCAACUUGGAUCCACGCCACCCGAGUGAAGCUUGUGAGAGCAAGAGAGGAGGCAGGAACGGAGGCAGACAGCCUUGGCCUUGAAGAAGGACAAGAGGUACUAACGGGGGCAGACAGCCCUGACCUCCAACAAGGCCCAGAGGUACUAACGGGGGCAGACGGCCCUGACCUCCAACAUGAUGAGCUCCUCACUCUUUUCUGGAAAAUGGUUGAAUGUACUGACUAAGAUUGCUUCAAUAAUCUUGUUGAUUUUACCAAUUAGCAGUAUGGGAGAAGUAGCCGCAACUAGCAAGGGCGGCGUCAUCACCUUUUGGUAUAAUUCAUCUAACCCUCACGUAGCUACCUACACCUUUUGUCUUUGUGAUAUAUUGAAAACAUGUUCAUAUUAUAACUACUGUUCCAACAA